UUAAAUUAUAACUUAGAAUUGUCAGUUCUAGAUUCCUUUAUAUUGAGGCUUUUUAU
rnacentral:tRNA from 1 species